rnacentral:rRNA from 1 species
GACGAACGCUGGCGGCGUGCUUAACACAUGCAAGUCUACGAGAACGAGGUAGCAAUAUCUUUAGUAAAGUGGCGUACGGGUGCGUAACACGUAAGCAAUCUACCUUUGGGUCUGGAAUAACUUCGAGAAAUCGAGGCUAAUACCGGAUAACGCAGCGGCACCGCAUGGUGAUGUUGUUAAAGUUUAUGUAAUGCCUAUAGAUGAGCUUGCGUCUGAUUAGCUAGUUGGUGAGGUAACGGCCCACCAAGGCUACGAUCAGUAGCUGGUCUGAGAGGAUGAUCAGCCACACUGGAACUGAGACACGGUCCAGACUCCUACGGGAGGCAGCAGUGAGGAAUAUUGGGCAAUGCCCGCAAGGGUGACCCAGCAACGCCGCGUGGAGGAUGAAGGUCGUAAGAUCGUAAACUCCUGUUAGAGGGGAAGAACACCACCGAUUGGAUCGGUGUUUGACUGUACCCUCAGAGAAAGCCCCGGCUAACUACGUGCCAG